rnacentral:rRNA from 1 species
GAUGAACGCUGGCGGCGUGCCUCAAACAUGCAAGUCGAGCGGGGCUAUGUAAUAUCGCAAGGUAGAACAUAGCCUAGCGGCGAACGGGUGAGUAACACGUGGGUAACCUGCCUGGAAGACAGGGAUAACGAUUCGAAAGGGUCGCUAAUACCUGAUAAUAUCCUUUCAUCGCAUGGUGAUAGGAAGAAAGGGGAAACCCGCUUUCAGAUGGGCCCGCGUCCCAUCAGCUAGUUGGUAAGGUAAAGGCUUACCAAGGCGACGACGGGUAGCCGGUCUGAGAGGAUGUACGGCCACACUGGGACUGAGAUACGGCCCAGACUCCUACGGGAGGCAGCAGUUGGGAAUCUUGGGCAAUGGGCGAAAGCCUGACCCAGCGACGCCGCGUGGAGGAAGAAGUCCUUCGGGCGUAAACUCCUGGACUGGGGACGAGGAAGGACGGUACCCCGAGUACGAAAGGGACGGCUAACUACGUGCCAGCAGCCGCGGUAAAUAGCGUACU